CCUACGGGGGGCAGCAGUGGGGAAUAUUGGACAAUGGGGGGAACCCUGACCCAGCCAUGCCGCGUGUGUGAAGAAGGCCCUCGGGUUGUAAAGCACUUUCAGUGAGGAAGAACGCCUGGUGGUUAAUACCCAUCAGGAAAGACAUCACUCACAGAAGAAGCACCGGCUAACUCCGUGCCAGCAGCCGCGGUAAUACGGAGGGUGUGAGCGUUAAUCGGAAUUACUGGGCGUAAAGCGCGCGUAGGUGGCUUGAUAAGCCGGUUGUGAAAGCCCCGGGCUCAACCUGGGAACGGCAUCCGGAACUGUCAAGCUAGAGUGCAGGAGAGGAAGGUAGAAUUCCCGGUGUAGCGGUGAAAUGCGUAGAGAUCGGGAGGAAUACCAGUGGCGAAGGCGGCCUUCUGGACUGACACUGACACUGAGGUGCGAAAGCGUGGGUAGCAAACAGGAUUAGAUACCCGUGUAGUC
rnacentral:rRNA from 1 species